rnacentral:rRNA from 1 species
CCUACGGGAGGCAGCAGUGGGGAAUAUUGCACAAUGGGGGAAACCCUGAUGCAGCGACGCCGCGUGAGUGAAGAAGUAAUUCGUUAUGUAAAGCUCUAUCAGCAGGGAAGAAAAUGACGGUACCUGAGUAAUAAUCCACGGCUAACUACGUGCCAGCAGCCGCGGUAAUACGUAGGGGGCAAGCGUUAUCCGGAUUUACUGGGUGUAAAGGGUGCGUAGACGGGAGUACAAGUCUGGAGUGAAAGGCGGGGGCUCAACCCCCGGACUGCUCUGGAAACUGUACGGCUGGAGUGCAGGAGAGGUAAGUGGAAUUCCUAGUGUAGCGGUGAAAUGCGUAGAUAUUAGGAGGAACACCAGUGGCGAAGGCGGCUUACUGGACUGUAACUGACGUUGAGGCUCGAAAGCGUGGGGAGCAAACAGGAUUAGAUACCCUUGUAGUC